rnacentral:misc_RNA from 1 species
ACGAGAGUUUGUACACCCGAAGUCGGUGAGGUAACCUUUUAGGAGCCAGCCGCCGAAGGUGGGACAGAUGAUUGGGGUGAAGUCGUAACAAGGUAGCCGUAUCGGAAGGUGCGGCUGGAUCACCUCCUUUCUAAGGAUUUUAACGGAAUAUAAGACCUUGGGUCUUAUAAACAGAACGUUCCCUGUCUUGUUUAGUUUUGAAGGAUCAUUCCAUUCUUCGAGAUGUUGUUCUUUGAAAACUACAUAACAGAAGUAAUUCACAUGCAAUUAGUAAUGCAAGAGAUCACGUAGUGAUUCUUUUUAACGGUUAAGUUACAAGGGGCGCACGGUGGAUGCCUUGGACUAGGAGCCGAUGAACGACGGGACGAACACCGAUGUGCUUCGGGGAGCUCUAAGCAAGCUUUGAUCCGGAGAUUUCCGAAUGGGGAAACCCACCGCUCCUAAUGGAGUGGUAUCCAUCUUAGUCUAUAUAGUUUUUUGAGAAGGCUGACCCGGUUCC